UUUUUUUUUUUUUUUUGUCCUUCCCCAGGUAAAUAUCCUCAGCUCUUUCCAGUAUGAUGAUUCUUUUCAGAUUUUUUUGUCAAGCGCUGAUUCUUGGCCUGUUUGCUCAUUAACUAAGGCCCCACUCCCCUUAGGAGACCGGGGAGGAGUAGAUUUGAAUGAAGGCAAAGCACAGCUUUGUAAAAUCAGUAAAUGUUACACGUUUGGCAUCAACCAUCUAUAGAUGCCAGAAUUUCAAGUUAUAGAUCCUAUUAUGUUAGACAAUCUAUCUUACCUUUACUUGAAGAUUCAGCUCCUUUAUCUAUAAAAAGAGGAAUGACAGCUCCUAGCUGACGGUUGAGAGGUGUAAUGAAAAAAUACGCGUGGGCCCCCUAGCUCAGCACUUGGCACAUAACGGAUGACCAGGUAGCGUUUGCCAUUGUUUUUAUUAGCGUUUAAACAGAAACACAUGCUCUCUUCUGAACCUUUCACAGAGACCGAGAAAGUUUGAUUACAUUUUCAAAGAAUGUAACAUUUCUCAUUUUGCAAGUGAUGAAAAGCCAGUUUUCCCCUGGUAAGCUACCAGACAGAUUGAGCACACGAACCACUAGUCCCUGAAACCAAGCCUAGCGAGGCCUGCAGGACUUUCGGGCAAUUAUGCGGAGUUGCGACUUCCCAGCGGACGCUCUGGCUGUCAGCUGAUUCCAGAAGCUUAUGGUGGAACUUCUGGUGUUGCUCUGGGCCUUCUGUGUUUAGUGCUGGGCAAGAAGCCAGUUAUCCGGGAGGAAGGUAAGACGACGGGAUGCUAUUUAAAGUAAUUUCUGUGGAUGUAUAUUAAUUAUCCAGGGUGAGACUUAUCCAUAGCUUUACCUCCCGACGGCCUCUCUCGUGGUCAUUGCAUGUCCAACACGUUAAACAGAAGAACGGCUGGGGAAGAGACAAAUGGAUAUUUUUCAUUGCAUUAAAAAUGAGUUGGAAGUGAGGGAAUGAAGAAGUCAUAGUUAAAAAUGACUGCAAUAGUGCAAUCGUAAGGAUAAUGGUAGUAAUACAUGGCACGUGUAUUUAUAUUUUCUGUGAUCAUGUUCCCAACAGCCUAGGGAUAGAUACCAAAGUCAAGUAAUGUAUAGAGAGGAAUGGCCAAAAAAGAAAAAAAAAAGUAGAAUUGAGUGGGCUAGGUGCAGAUAAAAAUGCACACAUACAUCCUGUAAGUGCAACACUAUGCGAUGGGCCCAGAAUGGGGAGACCAGAGGGAAGGUCGUGAACCUAAUAGGUCCUGCGCAUCGUGCAGGAGCUAAGCUCUAAUUCAAAGGAUUUUUGCCCUGUGAAAAUGUAGAAGAUUCUUUUUCUUUCUUUCUUUCUUUCUUUCUUUCUUUCUUUCUUUCUUUCUUUCUUUCUUUCUUUCUUCUUUCUCUCUUCUUUCUUUCUUUCUUUCUUUCUUUCUUUCUUUUUUUAAAUUUUCAGCAGCAAAGCUGAAAAAUCUGGAAUUUUAUGGUAAAUCAUAAAAUAUAAAAUAUUGGGCCAGUUGAAAAUGAAAACAACUUCUGGGUCAAAUAUGAAGUCUGCCAGGGCUGAUUUGGCUUCAGCAUAGAUUUUGUAAACCUCUGCCCACAAAUGGGCAGCAUCGCCAUCACGGGAACACGGAGCCCCAGGCAGGCCCGGGGUCAGGAACAAGGGAGGAUGCAAAGAAAAUCAGCUCAGUGGUGACUUACAGAAUGAGCUGGGUCUCGAAUAGUAUGUGGUUUACCCUGUGUCUGUAGGUAUGUUUACCUGAGGUAUGGGUAGGGGCAUGAUAAGCACACAGGAGGCGGGUGUGUUGUUCUCAGAUGACCAAGAGCGGGUGCGUUGGGGGUGCAGAGAAGCAGUCGAUGGCCUGCAUGGUUGGGGAACCUACACUGGGGGCUCUUCCGUUUUGUGUCCCACUGGCAACUCCAUUUUAGUCCCUGUCUCUAUCAAAAGGACUGAAUAUUUCUUUCUUGAUCUGUUGAGAGGGAAAAGACAGCAUUUUUCUCCAAUAAAUUGGACAAAAAGGAAAGCGCAAAACACUUACACAGAAUCCUAUAUCCUGGUCUUUCCACUUGGCUAUGACACUUAGGCAUAGUUUAUAAAGGUAAUUUCUGCUAAAGGUGUUAAAAGGAUGUAAAAGGUGAAAGUAGUUUAUAUCUUUAUAAAUCUAUGCUUUUGGAAGACUAUAAUUUAAAACCUGGUUUGGUCCUCCUCCCAAGUGUCUGGGUUUUCUCUUUUUUGUUUUUUGUUUGUUUGUUUGUUUGUUUGUUUUAGUAAGAACAUAAUAGAGCUGCUUCUUUUCCUUUAAAAAAUAAAGAAGAAAGAGGAAGAAGAAGAAAGGAAAAGAAAAAGAAAAAAACUUGCAGUUUUUCUCAUCGAGAGGUUCUAAUUAAAAUGUUCCAUUUGAAGGGUUUUUUUGGCCAACCCAAAUUCUUGUUAAGCAAAUGCUUUAUAUUCCUUGCUGGAGUAUAAAGCUGCAGUAUUCCUAGAGGGCAAUUUUGCAAAAUACCAAUAAGCCCAAAUGUACAGCAACAUAUAUAAUUUCAGUACCUUAAAGCAUAGAUUAUUCCAGAAUUUUUAAAUAAGUAGGAUUAUAUUGGUCAACAGAUUUUAUAUGUAUCACUUUGGUAAAAUGAAAUGAUACUUUAACAUAAUCUUUAAGCAAGAGUAUGCUCAUCCGGUAGUUAUAAGAGCAAUCCCAUUCUUACAAACCUCUAUUCUUUAUGAAAAUUUAAGAUUUUCUAUCUAACACAAAUUAUUAUUUUUGCAAUAUUAUUUUAGAAUCUUUUUUUUAAUCUCAGAGGAAGCCAAUACAAAUUUUAGUGAUUUCUAUAAAAUAAACUUGACAUAGUUAUUUUAUUUCAAAUGAAAUAUCAAUUCUUAAGCUUUAGAAGCCAGAUGGAUUUUUUUUUUCCAUAUUUAGCACUUUCUGUUAUUUUGAGGAUCAGAGUUAUUGGGGAGUAAUCAUCAUCAUAAUUUAAAUGGAUUAUUAGACUGAGUUUCAUAGGCUCUUAUUUUUUAUUAUUGUAAUUACAUGUAAUUUUGUCUAGUGAUAUGUCAUUUAUUUGUUACAUUAAAAUUGUAACAGGGGCAAGCACCCGGAUGGCUCAUUGGUUGGGCAUCUGACUCUUGGUUUUGGCUCAGGUCAUGAUCUUGGGGUCAUGAGAUUGAUCCCUGUGAUGGGCUCUGUGCUCACUGGGGAGUCUGCUUGAGAUUCCCUCUCCCUCUUCCACUGCCCCCCUCCACAUUUGUGUUCUCUUUCUCCUUAUCUCUAAAAUAAAUAUAUCUUAAAAAUUUUUUUUUUUGGACUGCUUGGGUGGCUCAGUGGUUGAGCAUCUGACUUUUGGCUCAGGGUGUGACCCCAGGGUCCUGGGAUCAAGUCCCACAUCGGGCUCCCUGCAUGGGGCCUGCUUCUCCCUCUGCCUGUGUCUCUGCUUCUCUUUCUGUGUCUCUCAUGAAUAAAUAAAAUAUUUAAAAAUUAAUAAAUUAAAAAUUUUUGAGUGGAAAAGUCAAUGCAUAUAUAGAAUUUGAUAUUUUAGUUUAUAAAAUAUUAAUUAUAAGGAAUUAUAUUUUUAAUGAAUUCAUAAGAAGACAUUGUGUCUUAUACUUUUUAAGAAAAGAAUAUUACUGAUAAUUCCCUUUCACAGAAUUUCUGAGCAACAUUCUGAUUUUGACUAUGAAUUUACUAUGUUCAAUAAUUAAAGUUUAGAAAUAUAAUUAAAGUUCAUAUUUCAGGGAUCCCUGGGUGGCACAGCGGUUUGGCACCUGCCUUUGGCCCAGGGCGCGAUCCUGGAGACCCAGGAUCGAAUCCCACAUCGGGCUCCUGGUGCAUGGAGCCUGCUUCUCCCUCUGCCUGUGUCUCUGCCUCUCUCUCUCUCUCUCUCUCUCUCUCUGUGACUAUCAUAAAUAAAUUAAAAAAAAA
rnacentral:lncRNA from 1 species